rnacentral:rRNA from 1 species
AGAGUUUGAUCCUGGCUCAGAUUGAACGCUGGCGGCAUGCUUUACACAUGCAAGUCGAACGGUAACAGGCCUUCGGGUGCUGACGAGUGGCGAACGGGUGAGUAAAGCAUCGGAACGUACCCAGAGGUGGGGGAUAACGCAGCGAAAGCUGUGCUAAUACCGCAUGUGAUCUGAGGAUGAAAGCGGGGGACCUUCGGGCCUCGCGCCUUUGGAGCGGCCGAUGUCGGAUUAGCUAGUUGGUGGGGUAAAGGCCUACCAAGGCGACGAUCCGUAGCUGGUCUGAGAGGACGACCAGCCACACUGGGACUGAGACACGGCUCAGACUCCUACGGGAGGCAGCAGUGGGGAAUUUUGGACAAUGGGCGCAAGCCUGAUCCAGCAAUGCCGCGUGCGGGAAGAAGGCCUUCGGGUUGUAAACCGCUUUUGGCAGGAACGAAAAGCUCUGGGCGAAUACCCUGGGGUGAUGACGGUACCUGCAGAAUAAGCACCGGCUAACUACGUGCCAGCAGCCGCGGUAAUACGUAGGGUGCGAGCGUUAAUCGGAAUUACUGGGCGUAAAGCGUGCGCAGGCGGUUGUGUAAGACAGGCGUGAAAUCCCCGGGCUCAACCUGGGAAUGGCGCUUGUGACUGCACGGCUGGAGUGCGGCAGAGGGGGAUGGAAUUCCGCGUGUAGCAGUGAAAUGCGUAGAUAUGCGGAGGAACACCGAUGGCGAAGGCAGUCCCCUGGGCCUGCACUGACGCUCAUGCACGAAAGCGUGGGGAGCAAACAGGAUUAGAUACCCUGGUAGUCCACGCCGUAAACGAUGAUCACUCGAUGUUGGCGAUAUACUGUCAGCGUCUAAGCAAAAGCAUUAAGUGAUCCACCUGGGGAGUACGACGGCAACGUUGAAACUCAAAGGAAUUGACGGGGGCCCGCACAAGCGGAGGAACAUGUGGUUCAAUUCGAUGAUACGCGAGGAACCUUACCUGGGUUUGAACGUAGGACGACAGUUGCCGAAAGGUGACCUCCCUUCGGGGCGGCCUACGAGGUGCUGCAUGGUUGUCGUCAGCUCGUGCCGUGAGGUGUCGGAUUAAGUUCCAUAACGAGCGCAACCCUUAUCGUUAGUUGCCAGCGGGUAAUGCCGGGGACUCUAACGAAACUGCCGGUGUAAACCGUGAGGAAGGUGGGGAUGACGUCAAAUCAGCACGGCCCUUACAUCCAGGGCUACACACGUGUUACAAUGGCCGGUACAGAAGGCUGCUACCCCGCGAGGGGAUGCUAAUCCCGAAAGCCGGUCUCAGUUCGGAUUGAAGUCUGCAACUCGACUUCAUGAAGCUGGAUUCGCUAGUAAUCGCGCAUCAGCAACGGCGCGGUGAAUACGUUCCCGGGCCUUGUACACACCGCCCGUCAAGCCAUGGGAGCCAGGAGUACCUAAAGUCCGUAACCGUAAGGAGCGGCCUAGGGUAAAACUGGUGACUGGGGCUAAGUCGUAACAAGGUAGCCGU